rnacentral:rRNA from 1 species
AGUAACACGUGGGGAACCUGCCUCAUAGUCUGGGAUACCACUUGGAAACAGGUGCUAAUACCGGAUAAGAAAGCGGAUCGCAUGAUUAGCUUUUAAAAGGCGGCGUAAGCUGUCGCUAUGGGAUGGCCCCGCGGUGCAUUAGCUAGUUGGUAAGGUAAAGGCUUACCAAGGCGAUGAUGCAUAGCCGAGUUUAGAGACUGAUCGGCCACAUUGGGACUGAGACACGGCCCAAACUCCUACGGGAGGCAGCAGCC